GACGAACGCUGGCGGCGUGCUUAACACAUGCAAGUCAAACGGAAAGGCCUGUCCUUCCUUGUGUUGGACGGGUACUCGAGUGGCGAACGGGUGAGUAACACGUGAGUGAUCUGCCCCCAACUUGGGUAUAAGCCUGGGAAACUGGGUCUAAUUCCCGAUAGGACUGCAGGGUGGUGCCUGUGGUGGAAAACGAUUUUCUAGUGGUUGGGGAUGAGCUCGCGGCCUAUCAGCUUGUUGGUGGGGUAAUGGCCUACCAAGGCGGCGACGGGUAGCCGGCCUGAGAGGGUGGACGGCCACAUUGGGACUGAGAUACGGCCCAGACUCCUACGGGAGGCAGCAGUGGGGAAUAUUGCACAAUGGGCGGAAGCCUGAUGCAGCGACGCCGCGUGGGGGAUGACGGCCUUCGGGUUGUAAACUCCUUUCGACCGCGAGGAAGCCGCCUGGUUGGAAGGGUGGUGACGGUAGUGGUAGAAGAAGCACCGGCUAACUACGUG
rnacentral:rRNA from 1 species